rnacentral:lncRNA from 1 species
AUGUUCACUUUGAAAAUAGACAUCUACUUAGAAAGUGGAGAGGGACAAUUUGAUGAUUUACACUCAGGUUUUCCUCUAUCCCUUUCCAGCAGCUGUUUUUUAAGCUUGAGGGAACACUGGCUGACAUACCGAACACCAGAUCCAGAGCCAGCAAGUGGUAUAUAUAAACCUGGAGAUGGCCCAGCAGUCCACACACCACUGAACACUGUAGAUGACCAGUGGAAGAGAGUUCAGCAGCAAAGAGUGUUCUGUGGAAACUUGCAAGGCCCUAUUAACACAGACUAAUGGAUCCUGAGUUAGCAAAUAUUCUGGCUCUUCUAUGACCAUUAUCCCACUUGGAGGAAUUCACCUCUUUACAAAGCUUUCAGCUUUGGGGUUCUUUAAAUGUUCCAGUAUUGCCAGUCUUUGUAUAUUCUUCAUAACGAAUGUGGAAAGCUUGGAUAUGCGCAUGCUGGUAUAACAAGAACUCUUUUCACUAGCAUGAGAAUUUUUGUUUUUAGGUCAAGAAUGCAUUCAGCAAUACAAGUACAAAAUAUAUCACAAUGCUGGCUUCAAGCAUACUUAGUGUGGUUUUAUAGUUACAAAUAAUGGUGGAUGCUACAAGCAAGUGAGAAUGAUAUGACAUCUAUUAAUGAUCUUAGAUUUUUUUUAGCAUGAGAAUUCUUAGGGAGAAAGCAGCCCUUUGUUAAGAAUAUAUAGCAAUCAUUUUGCUUGGGUUGGGUGACAGAUAAAAAAACCUGAAUGUGGGUAAAACUGUCCUACUUGAGACAGCAGAUGAACUAUUCACUCUUAAUAAAAGAAGAAAAACACAAACA